AGUGAGCUGGGCUCGCACACAGGCUUCCUGGUGGCGGCAGCAGCAGCCUUAGCGUCUCACGCCGGUCUCUGGGGUCCGCGCUGCAAGCCGCGGCUCACGCCCAUCUCUGGAGCUUGUUUAAGCGGUGCUCUGAAUCCCCUCUCCUCGCGCACCAGGAAACAAAGAGGGAAGAAAAAGUCUCUUGCCUCUUCGGCACCUGCAGACUGUUUCCCGGUCUCCCUCCCAGCCAGCUGUGGUGCACUAACCCCUUCAGGCUGUGUUCACGCCGCCAGCCCCAGUCCUCUCCCUGCGAAACCCGAGCCUCAGCUCCCAGCCCCGCCCGCCCCGGCGGGGGAGCAGACAAGCCUCUCGGGCUGGCACAAGGAGAAGUUAGCUGUCUGCAACCCUGAAGAGGCUCUCCAGACCUGCCCAUGCUGGCCCCCCAAUUUUGGAUUUCCAGCCUCCAGGGCAGUGAGAAAUUUCUGCUGUUUAUAAGCUGCCCAGUCUACGGUAUUUCUGCUACAGCAGCCGAGACGUACUAAGAACCUCUGGGGGAAAACCAAAAUGGCCUGCACUGGCCCAAGAGGACACACAAAGGCACUCAGGUCCCCGCCUGCUUUGCAUCUCACCAUCGAGCAGACGGCCUGCUGGAAGUUGUUGCUGACCACCACAUACAGUAACAGGUUGCCAAAGGUGUUCAGGGCAGCCAGUGGUCUAGAAACGAUGUACGCCUCAUGGAUCUGAUUCUCAAUGGAGCAGCUGAUGGAAAGCAGGCGAGAUUCAAUCCGAAUGACCCUCAAGAUAUGGAAAGGCAGAAAGCAUAUAUAAAACACGAGGAGCAGCAAAAUGGUUAGUCUUCGAGCUUUCUGCUUAAGGCAGCUGUGCGUCUGCGGUCCUUGUGUUAGGGUGUAGAUAAUCAUCGUAUAGCAAAGCGUCACGAUCACCAAGGGGAGGCAGAAGGUGGUCGCGGUCAAAAUUAGAUUGUACCAUUUGAUGGUCGUGAGGUCAUCUGAACUGGUGAGGUCAAGGCAGGCGGAUCUGUUGGUCCUGGUGGUUGAUGUGAUCAGAAAGGUUAUGGGAAUGACGGCCACCAGUGAAAUGAUCCACACCACCCCACAGGCCACCACGGCCCAUCGAGUUUUAUGGAUGGAAAAGCAGCUCAUCGGGUGAAUAAUGACAAAGUAGCGGAAGAUGCUGAAACAGGUGAGAAACAGGAUGCUGCUAUACAGGUUAAAGUGGAAGCCGAAGCGGAUAAACUUGCACAUGAAAUCCCCAAAGAUCCAGUUUUCUCCGCUGGCGUAGUAGUGAAUCAGGAAAGGCAGGCUGGUGAGGUACAGCAGGUCCGUGCAGGCCAGGUUCAGCAUGAUGAUGGUGCUGCUUCUCCAGGGCCGCAUCUUGAAGAUGUACGUGGAAAUUGCUACUGCGUUCCCAGGAAAGCCCACCAGGAAGAUUAUGCUAUAAAUAACAGGGAGGUAGUGCGUCUUGAGUGGGAUCUUUUCAUCAGUGCAAUUUCCAAGAGCAGCUGCAUAAUUGGGGAAAUCAGAAGCAUUUGCAAAAUCAUCUAGUGGCUCAUUCAUGGUUGUCUCCUUUCAUUUUGCAAGAAAACAAGAGAGUGCAGUUUGGCGAGAGAGAGUAACUCACUGCUAAAGGAAAAGAGAAAACAUUAAUGGUAGGGUAAUGAAAACAAUGAUCCACUUUUCAAUGAAAAUUGCUCUAACAGCCUGAAUUUGCCACUUUUUCUCUUUAAUCUCCAAAGAGACCCUGCGGAAGAAAUUGAAUUUCAAAGAAAAUGACUGUAAGGCAAGUUACUAAAGACAUCUAACAAUAAUAUAAAAGUUAAAUACCAUGAGAAGUAAAAUGAAGGACUGGGGUGGAAAACCCCACAUUGUAGCUGUAGAAGACGACUUGGCCAGGCUGCUGUUGAGGUAUGCCCUAGAGUGUCACCAUUAGAGACUUAACCACAGCAAGAUCCGCCACUAAUCACGCGUGAGGCACUUCACCAAUGUGUUACCUCUAAACUUGACAAAACGCUGAGAACAUUUCUUAUUAUCUCUAUUUUACAGAAGAGACUAAAACUGCGACCUGUUCCUGGUAACACAUCUAGUGGCACAGCUGGGAUUUGAACCUGUGUUUGUCUGACUUAGAACCCAUUCUCUUUCCAAACUGCCUCGCUGUGCUGCCUCUCAAUCUGGAUGACCCUAAAUGAGGGAUGCCAUGGGAAGUGCAAAGGCAUGACGAGACUGAAUACCAGACAUUUCUAAAAUGUAGAUUUCAUGCAUUCCAACAUUAUAUGUCUGGUAGAUUUCAUUUUCAAAUUUCAGCUCUUCCAACCCAUUUUAACAGCUAACAUAACUUGCUCAUGUUGUGAGGGGUGUGUUUGCAGGGGGAGGUGGAACAACAGCUUCAUGCAGUGUUAAGAGCUAGGGUGCUAUUGCCAGAGGCCCUGACCUUGACUCUGCUUGGCCAAAGAGUAGUUGUGUGUCCCUAAGCAAGUUGCUUACGCUCUCCAGGGCUGAGAGGAGUGGGAUUUUAACCUUUCUUCUUCUUGCUUAUCAGUGUUUUCUAAAAUUUUGACUGUGAAUUUCUGCAUGAAGAUCAUUUAAAAGAAGAAUUACUUACAAUUAGGUUAUUAUUCGGAUGUAAA